rnacentral:lncRNA from 1 species
CUGCAAAAUUCUUUGAAGCUCUACCAACCAUGUUCACACUGGUUGAGCCUUCUCCAAUGCUUCUUGUUUGAAAAUGCUGCAAUAGGCUCACAAUUUGUCCAUAUUGUUCCUUUGUAAUGUUGACAUUUUGGCUUUGACCUUUUCCUUGGGGCUCCAUCUUUUCUCCUUCCUCAACAAUUCUCACUGCAUUUGUUAUGACAUUUCUUCCCUUAUUGAACCUUGUAUUAUUGUUGUACCCUUGUAUGCCCUGUCUAUGCUGCUGUUGUGAUCCUUGAUUGAAGCUUUAAGGAUAACCAUGGAGUUUACAACAUUUGUCCUUAUUAUGACCUUGUCGUUUG